GGAGGGAUGGCCGAGUUGGUUAUGGCGCCAGGUUAAGGUCAAAUCUUAACAUUAUAUCUGUUCAAGAACGGAUAUGCGCUUCCUGGUGGGGCAACCCUCGUGGGUUCGAAUCCCACUCCCUUCA
rnacentral:tRNA from 1 species